UUUUUCUUUGUUUGUUUCCAAAUAAAAAUCAUCGUGAAGAAGAUUUUUAUCAAGCUCAAAAUUCUUUUUGAUAACAUUUAUAACAUUUUCGUAUAUAUAUAUAUAUAUAUAUAUAUGGUUUUAGUCUUGUAGGUAUGGCUACAAUCCAAGGCUAAGAAUUGGUUUUACUGCCCUUCAACCAAAUCGGGACUUACGACUAAAAUUUCUGAAGAGGAAUGUAGAUGCUCUGGACACAGCUGUAAACAGACUUGUUCGACCUCCAUAAUGUAAGUUACGACAUCAGUAACAUAAACUUUUUUUAGCUUAGUAUUAAUCAUGAAUUGGUUUUAUGCUUUAAGUCUUAAUUAUUAAGUGCUGGGAUGGCCUUUGAAACAUUGAAGUAUUGUGAUUUCUGAAGAUUGUAUAUAUUUUUGCCUUCCAUGAGUAAACUUGCUUUCUGGAGUUAGUUUUUGGCAAACAUUGCACGUGAUCUAGCAUUCUUGAAUUGUAUUCUAGGACUUGCAAUUUUUUAGGUGAGAACUUGUAAUAGGGAUCAAACACACAUCCAAAAACAAUCUGCAAUACGAAAGCUGAAGCUACUUAAAUUGAAGACC
rnacentral:lncRNA from 1 species